rnacentral:rRNA from 1 species
GACGAACGCUGGCGGCGUGCUUAACACAUGCAAGUCGAACGGAAAGGCCUGCUUUCCCUUGUGGAUUGCGGGUACUCGAGUGGCGAACGGGUGAGUAACACGUGAGUGAUCUGCCCCCAACUUGGGUAUAAGCCUGGGAAACUGGGUCUAAUUCCCGAUAGGACUGCAGGGUGGUGCCUGUGGUGGAAAACGAUUUUCUAGUGGUUGGGGAUGAGCUCGCGGCCUAUCAGCUUGUUGGUGGGGUAAUGGCCUACCAGGGCGGCGACGGGUGGCCGGCCUGAGAGGGUGGACGGCCACAUUGGGACUGAGAUACGGCCCAGACUCCUACGGGAGGCAGCAGUGGGGAAUAUUGCACAAUGGGCGGAAGCCUGAUGCAGCGACGCCGCGUGGGGGAUGACGGCCUUCGGGUUGUAAACUCCUUUCGACCGCGAGGAAGCCACCUGGUUGGAAGGGUGGUGACGGUAGUGGUAGAAGAAGCACCGGCUAACUACGUG